rnacentral:piRNA from 1 species
CACUGGGCCAAUGUUAGGGCAGC